AAACAUGUCUACAUGGGUAUAAUAUUAAAUGUAGUCCAGCCUGCCCACUGAAUAUAAAUUUUAAAGGGCCGCGGUACACUGACCGUGCUAAGGUAGCAUAAUCAAUAGUCUUUUAAUUGGAGACUGGAAUGAACGGCUAGAUAAAAAGUUUACUGUCUAUAUAAUAAAUCUUGAAUUUUACUUUUAAGUGAAAAGGCUUAAAUAUAUUAAAGUGACGAUAAGACCCUAUAAAACUUUAUAAUAAAUUAUGAUUAUCUUAAAUUUUAAAUCAAAAUAUAUUUCAUAUAUUACUAUUUAGUUGGGGCGACUGAGAUAUAAAAAAUCUGUCUUUAGUAAAAAAUAGUUAUAAUUAGAUCAAGAUCCUUUAUUAAGGAUUAAAAGGCUAAGUUACUUUAGGGAUAACAGCGUGAUUUUUCUUAAGAGUUCUUAUCGACAGAAUAAGUUGCGACC
rnacentral:rRNA from 1 species